UAAGAAGCACCGGCUAACUACGUGCCAGCAGCCGCGGUAAUACGUAGGGUGCGAGCGUUGUCCGGAAUUACUGGGCGUAAAGAGCUCGUAGGUGGUUUGUCGCGUCGUCUGUGAAAUUCCGGGGCUUAACUCCGGGCGUGCAGGCGAUACGGGCUGACUUGAGUGCUGUAGGGGAGACUGGAAUUCCUGGUGUAGCGGUGAAAUGCGCAGAUAUCAGGAGGAACACCGAUGGCGAAGGCAGGUCUCUGGGCAGUAACUGACGCUGAGGAGCGAAAGCAUGGGUAGCGAACAGGAUUAGAUACCCUGGUAGUCCAUGCCGUAAACGGUGGGCGCUAGGUGUAGGGGGCUUCCACGUCUUCUGUGCCGUAGCUAACGCAUUAAGCGCCCCGCCUGGGGAGUACGGCCGCAAGGCUAAAACUCAAAGGAAUUGACGGGGGCCCGCACAAGCGGCGGAGCAUGUGGAUUAAUUCGAUGCAACGCGAAGAACCUUACCUG
rnacentral:rRNA from 1 species